rfam:Chaetomium globosum CBS 148.51 scaffold_2 genomic scaffold, whole genome shotgun sequence.
ACCCCUCUGGUGUAGCGGUUAACAUAGCGGAUUCUCAUUUCGAAUUCCGUUGCCCGGGGUUCGACUCCCCGGAGGGGUA